rnacentral:rRNA from 1 species
GCUACCAUGCAGUCGACGGUAACAGGAAGCAGCUUGCUGCUUCGCUGACGAGUGGCGGACGGGUGAGUAAUGUCUGGGAAACUGCCCGAUGGAGGGGGAUAACUACUGGAAACGGUAGCUAAUACCGCAUAACGUCGCAAGACCAAAGAGGGGGACCUUCGGGCCUCUUGCCAUCGGAUGUGCCCAGAUGGGAUUAGCUUGUUGGUGAGGUAACGGCUCACCAAGGCGACGAUCCCUAGCUGGUCUGAGAGGAUGACCAGCCACACUGGAACUGAGACACGGUCCAGACUCCUACGGGAGGCAGCAGUGGGGAAUAUUGCACAAUGGGCGCAAGCCUGAUGCAGCCAUGCCGCGUGUAUGAAGAAGGCCUUCGGGUUGUAAAGUACUUUCAGCGGGGAGGAAGGUGUUGUGGUUAAUAACCGCAGCAAUUGACGUUACCCGCAGAAGAAGCACCGGCUAACUCCGUGCCAGCAGCCGCGGUAAUACGGAGGGUGCAAGCGUUAAUCGGAAUUACUGGGCGUAAAGCGCACGCAGGCGGUCUGUCAAGUCGGAUGUGAAAUCCCCGGGCUCAACCUGGGAACUGCAUUCGAAACUGGCAGGCUUGAGUCUCGUAGAGGGGGGUAGAAUUCCAGGUGUAGCGGUGAAAUGCGUAGAGAUCUGGAGGAAUACCGGUGGCGAAGGCGGCCCCCUGGACGAAGACUGACGCUCAGGUGCGAAAGCGUGGGGAGCAAACAGGAUUAGAUACCCUGGUAGUCCACGCCGUAAACGAUGUCUAUUUGGAGGUUGUUCCCUUGAGGAGUGGCUUCCGGAGCUAACGCGUUAAAUAGACCGCCUGGGGAGUACGGCCGCAAGGUUAAAACUCAAAUGAAUUGACGGGGGCCCGCACAAGCGGUGGAGCAUGUGGUUUAAUUCGAUGCAACGCGAAGAACCUUACCUGGUCUUGACAUCCACAGAACUUUCCAGAGAUGGAUUGGUGCCUUCGGGAACUGUGAGACAGGUGCUGCAUGGCUGUCGUCAGCUCGUGUUGUGAAAUGUUGGGUUAAGUCCCGCAACGAGCGCAACCCUUAUCCUUUGUUGCCAGCGGUCCGGCCGGGAACUCAAAGGAGACUGCCAGUGAUAAACUGGAGGAAGGUGGGGAUGACGUCAAGUCAUCAUGGCCCUUACGACCAGGGCUACACACGUGCUACAAUGGCAUAUACAAAGAGAAGCGACCUCGCGAGAGUAAGCGGACCUCAUAAAGUAUGUCGUAGUCCGGAUUGGAGUCUGCAACUCGACUCCAUGAAGUCGGAAUCGCUAGUAAUCGUGGAUCAGAAUGCCACGGUGAAUACGUUCCCGGGCCUUGUACACACCGCCCGUCACACCAUGGGAGUGGGUUGCAAAAGAAGUAGGUAGCUUAACCUUCGGGAGGGCGCUACCACUUGAUCCG